GGCGACAGGAAGUGGGCAAUCCACCUGGUCUUGGUGAAGACAAUAAUUUUGAAGGGACAGUUAGUACAUUUCCAAUCAUCAAGUCAUUUAAUGGACGAAGCUGGUCCCUUUCUUUAUGGAUAGAAAGAACAACAACAACAAAAACAAACCUAGGCAUCUAAUUGUUUUUUUCUUUUUUUGGAAAGCGGGGUGAGAGGGACUCCCAAGAAAACCCCUGGGGAGGCAGCGAGUGGGGUGAGUGGAAAGGAGAUCGGAGGGGUGCAGAGGGCGGAGGUGAGAGGUGGACUCCGGGAGGCCGAGAGCGGCACAGGCUGGGGACCGAGGGCGAGCGGCAGGCUCUCCUGCGCCCCAGCGGGACAGCGCGGCGCCCGCCGCUGCUCCCCGGGACCUCGGUGGCUGGGCAGGGCCGCGGGCUGCGGCGGGCGCUGCCUUCCAACGUGCCCGGGGACGUCCCCGGUGCCAGCCGAUGAGGCAGCGGAGGACGGCUUCCCGGAUAAUCGCCCCAACUUACCAGGCGCGGAGUCCGCGGCUGCAAAAGGACGGGCGGGCGCCGGGGCCAGCGAGGGCCCGGCCUCCAGGUGCCCGGCGCGCACAGCUACUGCCACUUGGAGCGGUGCCAGCCUCAUUUGAAUCCCAGCCUUUGUGAAUAACUCAAGUGUCGCCACCGUUGCUCCAGCAAUCGUAGGGCGUCUGGGCUCACACCACCCUGCCUCGCCCCAGGGAGCCCAAGGGGGCUGCCUCCCUCCCCGCAGCCUCCAAGCUUCGCAGGGCGGUGGGGAGGCUGCCCUGGCUGAACCUUCUAGAAGGCCUGCCCCCACCCCGCAGCCGGAAAAAAAAAAAAUUGACAAACUGGAGAUGUCAGAGUGGAAGGAAGGGACCCGGUCUGGCUUUCAGCCUACGCUGUCCCCUUUCUACCUGGGGAUCUAUCUGGAGCCCUGGCUGUGUGCAGAGGCGACUCUGGUGUGCACGCGCAUCUUCUCCCUUCAUCAGGAGACAAUUAAAUGGGUUUGGUUUAAACGUCUGCUAGGUGUGUCCUCCCGCUGGGGGGCCUCGCUUCCUCACUCAGGCCUUCUAUUAGACGUUUUGGUAGAGCGCCUCCUGUGCUGCAGGUCCUGUGCUGGGCACGCAAAGAGCCCAGAGGGAGGGGGAGACGUUGUAGCAACGCAGACAGCCAGCCUCUGCCUCGAGGUGCAACUUGUCUACUCGAGGAACGAGGAACGGGUGCAAACAGAUGGGACAGAUGCAAAUUUCACCUUCACACACACUCGGGUAUGCAAAACGGUAAGUCCUCCGUUUGUCCACACCCAAACUUCUGUCUCCGCCCCCAUUAUGCUCAAGAUAGGAAAAUCAAUCUAAUCAUCUCCAAAUAAAUUCAACUGGGUGAAUUUUUCUUUGCUUCAGAUUUACAAUAAGUCAAAUGAGUGCUUUUUCUCAAGUCACUCUCCUCCCUAGGAUUGACAGUCAGCUCUGAUGCUCAAACACCAGACAUUGUGCUCAUUGUGUGGAAUGCUUUCUUUAGGAGAGAGUGUGAUUUGCUGUUGCUUUACUAUUUGGGCCUUGUUGAAGCAGAGGAGGAUGAUAUUUAAGACCAACUGGGCAGCCGAGUUAAAUGCCCCUCAGAGGAAGAGGCCUGCUCCAAACCACAAGUUUUGAUCUCUUAGGUUCUAUCCAGUGAGAGCCGACAAGGGGUCUGUGGCAGGCGUAGUACAGGUUAAAAUUUCCCAUGGACAGAGAAAGUUCCAGGUAGAAAUGAGGUCUGGGUGGACAGAGGACUUGGCGUUAUACACCUGAGUUUGUGUGACCAUGAACUUUGCAUUUCUGUUGCCUCCCCCACAAAAUGUGUGCCUCAGACAGGAAUCUUGUGCACAUUCCUGUUGGCGAGGCGUAGUGCUUUGUCUGCUGAGCCCCACUUCUGCUCCAACAGCUGGAGAGGACUCCCUUCUCCCCUACAAGUACUCCUCCAGGAAUAGGAACAGGAGUGUAGAGGGGUGAAAAGAGUCAUCUGUGUGGAAAUUCUGGAUCCUCCAGAGGCCUGUGAGAAGAAAUGCUCUUCUUCUUGCCACCUUUUGUACUUUGAUGCAGUUAUAGGAGAGAACCAUUAUGUGAGGAGGUUUAAAAAAAAAAACAUUGACAAACUGGAGAUGUCAGAGUGGAAGGAAGGGCAAAAAGUUUCUUGAUGGAACUGAUUUGGCAAACGGACUCUGGGACUGUCUGUCUUAGACAAAUCAAGGAUCUUCAUGGUUUGAACCACCUUUAGUAAAGUAUUUUAUUAUUAUUCCAACUGAAACCGCAUCUGGGGGAUUUGACAGUUGUCUCCCGGUCGUCAGUGGUGUUUGAAAAAGAGAGAAGUUGUGGAGAUGCAAGUCUGAUGCAAGAUUAAGAAGUAAAUGGGAAAAUUCUGUUUCUGGCAAUAUGGAGGACCAAAUAUGGAGGACCAGAUAGUCUCAGAGAAAUUCUGGAAAAUGUAACAACAUUCUUGUAAGUGCAUAACUGAGCUCAUUUAGAAAGAAGAAAAAACAGUCAGAGCUAAUCUACCUUGGGGACUGCUGUCACUAGGAACAUGGUAGCCUUGGUAGAAUGGGCUGUAACUCCAACCAGAUAUAAAACUUAAAUAAAGUCUUGUAUUGAGAGCCGAACCUUCCAUGGCUACUUAAGAACCUUGAAGCUGUAUAUCCUUGGUGAAAAGGUGUGUGUCAUAGCUAAUUUUAUGCUCCAACUUGAGCUCCCAUGGGGUGCCCAGAUUAAACAUUAUCUCAA